GAGUUUGAUCAUGGCUCAGGACGAACGCUGGCGGCGUGCCUAAUACAUGCAAGUCGAGCGAACUUGCGGGAGCUUGCUCCCAAAAGUUAGCGGCGGACGGGUGAGUAACACGUGGGCAACCUGCCUGUAAGACUGGGAUAACUUCGGGAAACCGGAGCUAAUACCGGAUAAUUCUUUUCUACACAUGUAGAAAAGCUAAAAGACGGUUUACGCUGUCGCUUAUAGAUGGGCCCGCGGCGCAUUAGCUAGUUGGUGAGGUAACGGCUCACCAAGGCCACGAUGCGUAGCCGACCUGAGAGGGUGAUCGGCCACACUGGGACUGAGACACGGCCCAGACUCCUACGGGAGGCAGCAGUGGGGAAUCUUGCGCAAUGGGCGAAAGCCUGACGCAGCGACGCCGCGUGGGGGAAGAAGGCUCUCGGGUUGUAAACCCCUUUCAGGAAGGACGAAGCUCCUCGGGUGAAUAGCCCAGAGGGUGACGGUACUUCCAGAAGAAGCCCCGGCUAACUACGUGCCAGCAGCCGCGGUAAUGCCCAAU
rnacentral:rRNA from 1 species